AAAAAGAAUACAUCAGAAGAAGAAGAAAAAAUGGAAUUUUGUAUUGAGUGA
rnacentral:sRNA from 1 species